UUUUUGUUAUCAUAGAGAGCGCUUGCACUGACAUAUAACGACAUCUAACAAUGAAAAUGGAACUAUUCUGAGCGCAUGGCGCCAUGAUACUUGUAGAGGGAUACGUUGUUUCGCGCCCAUGGCCUGGGGGUUAAUAAUAAAUAACCGAUUCCAUCACAUGUACUUUACUUCUACGUGCUUUACUUCUAGUCCUUAGAAUCUAGGCAGCGCCUAUGACAGACGACGUAGAUCUCAAUAGUGUCGCAUAUGCGGCUUUACUUUCUUCGAAGUAUCGCUUUCGAACUACGAAUUCGAGCAGAUUUCUGAAACGUUUUAAAAAGAAAGAAAAAGUCAAAAAUUAAAAGUAAGCACAGGACAGGUCCAUUGUAUUGACACUGAUAAUCUGUUAACUAUAGUUGGAUAUCGUAUGUUUUUGUUAAGGUUAAGUGUAAGACGUUUUCUUUUAUACCAGUUUUCCUGGGUGCGAAACGAAUAUAAGUGGUUAUAAUUCGUGUAUUAGUGCAUGCUGUGUAAUUUUCUUGGAGUUUGCUUGGAUUUAUCUUCUAACGCUGUGAAAUGCUGACAAGCUGGCAACAUGUAUAUGACAGCAUAGUUGAUACGGACAUACGGCUCAGUACCUAAUAGUGAAUAUGUUAGAAAUCGUUGAUGAAAUGUAAUUCAAACUGGGAAUAAUUAUAUUUAAUUUAAAUUGAAAUUUUACUUAACUCGAUAUUAUGCGUUAUAUCGUAUAAGUACACGCAUCAUCUCUAAUUAAAAUAAAUGAUUACACAAGGACGAAACAGUUAUUCAUAA